AGAGUUUGAUCCUGGCUCAGGAUGAACGCUGGCGGCGUGCCUAAUACAUGCAAGUCGAACGAGGUGCUUUUGUAGCAAUACGAGAGUAUCCUAGUGGCGAACGGGUGAGUAACGCGUUGGUGACCUACCCCAAAGUGUGGGAUAACAGUCCGAAAGGAUUGCUAAUACCGCAUGUGGUUAUUGGAUUUAGAAACCGGUAACUAAAGGAGCAAUUCGCUUUGGGAGGGACCUGCGUCCCAUCAGCUAGUUGGUGAGGUAACGGCUCACCAAGGCGACGACGGGUAGGGGACCUGAGAGGGUGGCCCCCCACAAUGGAACUGAAACACGGUCCAUACACCUACGGGUGGCAGCAGUAGGGAAUAUUGCACAAUGGGCGAAAGCCUGAUGCAGCAACGCCGCGUGUGUGAUGAAGGCCUUCGGGUCGUAAAGCACUUUUCUGGGAGAUGAGAAAGGACAGUAUCCCAGGAAUAAGUCUCGGCUAACUACGUGCCAGCCGCCGCGGUAAUUC
rnacentral:rRNA from 1 species